rnacentral:rRNA from 1 species
UACGUAGGGGCCGAGCGUUGUCCGGAGUUAUUGGGCGUAAAGCGCGCGCAGGCGGCCUCGCGCGCCCGACGUGAAAGCCCCCGGCUUAACCGGGGAGGGUCGUUGGGGACGGCGGGGCUUGAGGGCGGGAGAGGUCGGUGGAAGUUCUCGGUGUGAGCGGUGAAAUGCGUAGAUAUCGAGAGGAACACCUGCGGCGAAGGCGGGUAGCUGGGCCGACACUGACGCUGAUGCGCGAAAGCCAGGGGAGCGAACAGG